GCCAGCGUAGCUCAGUGGCAGAGCAAUGCUUUCGUAAAGCAGAGGUCGUGAGUUCAACCCUCACCGCUGGCUCAA
rnacentral:tRNA from 3 species